UGAGUUAAUUAUACGGUCGCGGGCUGUGAAAGCAGCGUGAGGAAAGUCCGAGCAUCGCAGGGCAAGGGUGCCUGUUAACGGCAGGAGAAGGCGACUUCAAGGAAAGUGAACAGAAAUAUACCGCAGCGGUUUUUGCUGUAAGGUUGGAAUGGCGAGGUAAGAGCUCACCGUCCCCUCGGUAACGGGGGGAGCCAAUUAAACCCCACCCGAUGCAAGAUUGGGAUAAAGGCUGAUUUAAUUCAAGGGCUGCCCGUCCGUCUUUAUCCGUUAAUAUCGCUCAAUCUUACAGGCGACUGUAAGAGUAGAUAGAUGACCGUACACGACAGAACUCGGCUUACAGAUUAAUCUCAAAUU
rnacentral:RNase_P_RNA from 1 species